rnacentral:rRNA from 1 species
UACGUAGGGCGCAAGCGUUGUCCGGAAUUAUUGGGCGUAAAGAGCUCGUAGGCGGCCAGUUGCGUCUGCUGUGAAAUCCCGGGGCUCAACCCCGGGCGUGCAGUGGAUACGGGCUGGCUAGAGGCAGGCAGGGGAGAUUGGAAUUCCUGGUGUAGCGGUGGAAUGCGCAGAUAUCAGGAGGAACACCGAUGGCGAAGGCAGAUCUCUGGGCCGUAACUGACGCUGAGGAGCGAAAGCGUGGGGAGCGAACAGG